UGUUUGCCAGCUAGCAUGGAGAGAAAUAUCAAAUUUAUUCCUCUCCCUCCAAUCAACAUUAGCAACACAUCCAUGAUGAAAACGAUACUCUUUUUUCUUGUCCUUCACGACAUGCAUAAUAUCCCUUCUAAAAAACAACUCCUACACACAAAAAUAGAACAACAAAUCUCUGAAAAGUUAGGUCGAUCCACUGCAACACCACAACCAUUAUAGCAACCACUUCAUAUCAACAACACUUUUUCUUUCCACCAUAAAAAACUAUCAUAACAUAACCAACCCAUCUUUUUCCUCUCUCUGAGCUCACUCAUCAACCAUCCAGUAGCUUCCGCUCUCGGUCUCUUUGCCGGCGAGGAAGUAGUUGGACCAUUUAAUAAAGCACUUCGACAGCACGCAUUCACGCCGCCACAAAAUCGUUAGAUCUUGCCGGAAAUAGAGCAUGCGGUAGAGGUAUUUGGUGCUUCCUCUUGGGUCUUCUUACAAUGAGACGGUUCUCUUACACCUACACUCAUAUAUUGCAUUGCUUGUUGGUUGGGCUAGAUUUAAUUAUUUCAUUAUUUUGAAUCCCAUUCGACAAAAUGUACCCUCACCCCCAUAAUAUGUAAUAAUUUUACUGUUUUAUUUCUUUA